rnacentral:rRNA from 1 species
UACGUAGGGUGCGAGCGUUAAUCGGAAUUACUGGGCGUAAAGCGUGCGCAGGCGGUGAUGUAAGACCGAUGUGAAAUCCCCGGGCUUAACCUGGGAACUGCAUUGGUGACUGCAUCGCUCGAGUAUGGCAGAGGGGGGUAGAAUUCCACGUGUAGCAGUGAAAUGCGUAGAGAUGUGGAGGGAUACCGAUGGCGAAGGCAGCCCCCUGGGUCAAUACUGACGCUCAUGCACGAAAGCGUGGGGAGCAAACAGG